rnacentral:rRNA from 1 species
AGGUUCCUACGGGAGGCAGCAGUAGGGAAUCUUCCACAAUGGGCGAAAGCCUGAUGGAGCAACGCCGCGUGGGUGAAGAAGGUCUUCGGAUCGUAAAACCCUGUUGUUAGAGAAGAAGGUGCGUGAGAGUAACUGUUCACGUUUCGACGGUAUCUAACCAGAAAGCCACGGCUAACUACGUGCCAGCAGCCGCGGUAAUACGUAGGUGGCAAGCGUUAUCCGGAUUUAUUGGGCGUAAAGGGAACGCAGGCGGUCUUUUAAGUCUGAUGUGAAAGCCUUCGGCUUAAUCGGCGUAGU